GGGCGUAAGAGCUCGUAGGCGGUUUGUCGCGUCUGCUGUGAAAACUGGAAGCUCAACUUCCAGCCUGCAGUGGGUACGGGCAGACUAGAGUGCGGUAGGGGAGAACGGAAUUCCUGGUGUAGCGGUGGAAUGCGCAGAUAUCAGGAGGAACACCGAUGGCGAAGGCAGUUCUCUGGGCCGUUACUGACGCUGAGGAGCGAAAGCGUGGGGAGCGAACAGGAUUAGAUACCCUGGUAGUCCACGCCGUAAACGGUGGGUGCUAGCUGUGGGCCACAUUCCACGUGGUCCGUGACGAAGUUAACACAUUAAGCACCCCGCCUGGGGAGUACGGCCGCAAGGCUAAAACUCAAAGGAAUUGACGGGGGCCCGCACAAGCGGCGGAGCAUGCGGAUUAAUUCGAUGCAACGCGAAGAACCUUACCAAGGCUUGACAUAUAGAGGAAAAGUGCAGAAAUGUACUCCCCGUAAGGUCUCUAUACAGGUGGUGCGUGGUUGUCGUCAGCUUGUGUCGUGAGAUGUUGGGUUAAGUCCCGCAACGAGCGCAACCCUCGUCCUAUGUUGCCAGCACGUAAUGGUGGGAACUCAUGGGAUACUGCCGGGGUCAACUCGGAGGAAGGU
rnacentral:rRNA from 1 species